UGGAGGAGGGUGGAAGCAGAGGCAAAGGAGAGAGAGGAGACGGGGCAGGCCUCCAGCCUCUCUGCUGUCCACAGAAAGCCUGUUUGUUUAGAGGAAAUGACACGUGCUGCCGCCGAGGAAAUGAUCUGCUUGGCCCCAUGUUAAACACCGAGUUGGUCUCCAGAGUUGCAAAGCCAUCCAGGGGCGCAGUGGGAUCAAGUUAAACCCAGCAGGAUGCUCUUGGCCAGGCAUCAGUAUGCACCACCAUGGCCUCUGUGCUCUGGAUUUCGUCAGGAGACUGUAGGUGUGAGUGUGUGAUUUGUAAUCACAUCAGAUGCAAGGACCAAUUGUCGACCGCCAUCAAGUCUGUCGGUAAAGUCUCAGCACAAGAUUAUGGCCCAUUGAUCACCUAGUCUGGCAUAAUGACCAUCA